GACGAACGCUGGCGGCGUGCUUAACACAUGCAAGUCGAACGAAGUGGCGAACGGGUGAGUAAUACGUGGGUAACCUGCCCUCCUUUUUGGGAUAAGCCUUGGAAACGGGGUCUAAUACCGAAUAAAGGGGGAUGGGCUCGCGGCCUAUCAGCUUGUUGGUGGGGUGAUGGCCUACCAAGGCGGUGACGGGUAGCCGGCCUGAGAGGGUGACGGGCCAGAGUGGGAGUGAGUGACGGCCCAGACUCCUACGGGAGGCAGCAGUGUGGUGUAGUGCGAAAGCGGCCAACGCGCGAUGCAGCGACGCCGGGUGGGGGAUGAAUGCUUUCGGGUUGUAACCCUAUUUAGCUAUCGAAUGGGUAGGUGGCGAAGAAGCGCCGGCUAAUUACGUGCCAGCAGCCGCGGUAAUUC
rnacentral:rRNA from 1 species